rnacentral:tRNA from 1 species
GGGGAAAGCUCAGUAGAGCACAUGCUUAGCAUGCAUGCGGUCCUGGGUUCAAUCCCUAGUAUCUCCA